rnacentral:rRNA from 1 species
GUGCUCGAGUGGCGAACGGGUGAGUAACACGUGAGUAACCUGCCCUUGACUUUGGGAUAACUUCAGGAAACUGGGGCUAAUACCGGAUGGGAGCUCCUGCUGCAUGGUGGGGGUUGGAAAGUUUCGGCGGUUGGGGAUGGACUCGCGGCUUAUCAGCUUGUUGGUGGGGUAGUGGCUUACCAAGGCUUUGACGGGUAGCCGGCCUGAGAGGGUGACCGGCCACAUUGGGACUGAGAUACGGCCCAG